AAUAAAUAAUUGAAAAAUAAUAAAAUAAUCUUUAAAACGUGCACUACUUGAAACAUUCAAUCAUGAAUAAAUAACAAAAAUAAUCCCGAAACAUGGGUAAUAUAACAUUUCUACAUAUUUACAAUAUUCACAGCAAAACAAUUUUACAACCCUAUUUCUACUAUUUACAUUUUAUACAUUCAGAUCACAUUCGAUCUUUCGCUUCGGUGUACCCCUCGCGCAGGCGGGAUUCAUCGGCGGGCAAACUGUCACUCGAUCGAUCAUCGGUGACAGAUCGCGAAAUGUCACUCAUCGGGAAACGAUCAAUCGUCACGACAUAUCGGCAUGAUCAAUGUUUAUGUUUACAUGAUCAUGCAGAUAUGUGUUGGAAUUGAUCAAUGAUCAUGUUUUCGACGAAAAGCGGCCAAAUUUUCAUCGAAAGAAUAGGGUGUAUUGGUGUCGGAGAUGGGAUGAUCUCCAAGACGGUCGGGCUGUUUUGCUGCCAGUGCAAUGAUCUUCACGUCGAAGAUUUGCCUGCAGAAAACCCCCCGGAUUCCCAGGAUUACCAUGCAAGCCAUCUUGAAUAAACAAGAUGCACUGCAGGGUUAUUCUGCUCAUCGUUUCCCUGUUCACUGGUAGUGAUUUUCACGGUUUAAAUUGGGUGGAAUUAGUGCAUCGAAGUUCUGAGGACAUGACGAGAUGACUCCUCACCAACCCAUGCAUUCCGCUCCCGGGUUCCUGCUUCAAUCAACUACUCGGAAAUUACGGAAAACAAUUGAGAAAACCUAUAUAUGGAAAAAUAAAGCUAUUUGCCAUUUCUGUUCGCGCCGCAGGA